rnacentral:rRNA from 1 species
AGUGAGCGCUGGCGGUAGGCCUAACACAUGCAAGUCGAACGGCAGCACAGUAAGAGCUUGCUCUUACGGGUGGCGAGUGGCGGACGGGUGAGGAAUACAUCGGAAUCUACUUUUUCGUGGGGGAUAACGUAGGGAAACUUACGCUAAUACCGCAUACGACCUACGGGUGAAAGCAGGGGAUCUUCGGACCUUGCGCGAUUGAAUGAGCCGAUGUCGGAUUAGCUAGUUGGCGGGGUAAAGGCCCACCAAGGCGACGAUCCGUAGCUGGUCUGAGAGGAUGAUCAGCCACACUGGAACUGAGACACGGUCCAGACUCCUACGGGAGGCAGCAGUGGGAAAUAUUGGACAAUGGGCGCAAGCCUGAUCCAGCCAUACCGCGUGGGUGAAGAAGGCCUUCGGGUUGUAAAGCCCUUUUGUUGGGAAAGAAAAGCAGCAGGUUAAUACCCCGCUGUUCUGACGGUACCCAAAGAAUAAGCACCGGCUAACUUCGUG